GACGAACGCUGGCGGCGUGCUUAACACAUGCAAGUCGAACGGGUCUGCCCUGUUUUUUGCGGGGUGGGUCAGUGGCGAACGGGUGAGUAACACGUGAGUAACCUGCCCCUCACUUCUGGAUAACCGCUUGAAAGGGUGGCUAAUACGGGGUGUUCUGGCUGUGCCGCAUGGUGUGGCUGGGAAAGAUUCACUUUUGUGGUGUUUUGGUGGGGGAUGGGCUCGCGGCCUAUCAGCUUGUUGGUGGGGUGAUGGCCUGCCAAGGCUUUGACGGGUAGCCGGCCUGGGAGGGUGGGCGGUCACACUGGGACUGAGAUACGGCCCAGACUGCAGCGGGAGGCAGCAGUGGGGGGUAUUGGACAAUGGGCGGAAGCCUGAUGCAGCGACGUCGCGUGAGGGAUGGAGGCCUUCGGGUUGUGAACCUUUUUCGCCGGUGAAGAAGGUCCUGCUCUUUGUGGUGGGGUUGACGGUAGCCGGGUUAUGAAGCGCCGGCUAACUACGUG
rnacentral:rRNA from 1 species